AUUGAACGCUGGCGGCAUGCCUUACACAUGCAAGUCGAACGGUAACAGAUCUUCGGAUGCUGACGAGUGGCGAACGGGUGAGUAAUACAUCGGAACGUGCCUAGUAGUGGGGGAUAACUACUCGAAAGAGUGGCUAAUACCGCAUGAGAUCUACGGAUGAAAGCAGGGGAUCGAAAGACCUUGCGCUACUAGAGCGGCCGAUGGCAGAUUAGGUAGUUGGUGGGAUAAAAGCUUACCAAGCCGACGAUCUGUAGCUGGUCUGAGAGGACGAUCAGCCACACUGGGACUGAGACACGGCCCAGACUCCUACGGGAGGCAGCAGUGGGGAAUUUUGGACAAUGGGCGAAAGCCUGAUCCAGCAAUGCCGCGUGCAGGAUGAAGGCCUUCGGGUUGUAAACUGCUUUUGUACGGAACGAAAAGCCCUGGGUUAAUACCCUGGGGUCAUGACGGUACCGUAAGAAUAAGCACCGGCUAACUACGUGCCAGCCGCCGCCGUAACAC
rnacentral:rRNA from 1 species